rnacentral:rRNA from 1 species
AUGAACGCUAGCGGCAGGCUUAACACAUGCAAGUCGAGGGGCAGCGAGGAGUAGCAAUACUCUGUCGGCGACCGGCGAAAGGGUGAGUAACGCGUGAGCAACAUGCCCGAUAGUGGAGGAUAGUCGAUGGAAAACGUCGCGUAAUACUCCGUAACAUACGGGACCGCAUGAUUCUGUAUUAAUAGAUUUAUUGCUAUCGGAUUGGCUCGCGUACCAUUAGCUAGUUGGCGGGGUAACGGCCCACCAAGGCGACGAUGGUUAGGGGUUCUGAGAGGAAGGUCCCCCACAUUGGAACUGAGACACGGUCCAGACUCCUACGGGAGGCAGCAGUGAGGAAUAUUGGACAAUGGCCGGAAGGCUGAUCCAGCCAUGCCGCGUGCGGGAGGACGGCCCUAUGGGUUGUAAACCGCUUUGUUAGGGAGCAAUAAGGAGCACGUGUGCUCUGAUGAGAGUACCCAGCGAAUAAGCAUCGGCUAACUCCGUGCC